UACGUAGGGGGCUAGCGUUGCUCGGAAUUACUGGGCGUAAAGGGUGCGUAGGCGGCCAUUUAAGUCAGGGGUGAAAUCCCAGAGCUCAACUCUGGAACUGCCUUUGAUACUGGGUGUCUUGAGUGUGAUAGAGGUAUGUGGAACUCCGAGUGUAGAGGUGAAAUUCGUAGAUAUUCGGAAGAACACCAGUGGCGAAGGCGACAUACUGGAUCAUUACUGACGCUGAGGCUCGAAAGCGUGGGGAGCAACCAGG
rnacentral:rRNA from 1 species